AGAGUUUGAUCCUGGCUCAGAUUGAACGCUGGCGGCAGGCCUAACACAUGCAAGUCGAACGGUAACAGGAAGCAGCUUGCUGCUUCGCUGACGAGUGGCGGACGGGUGAGUAAUGUCUGGGAAACUGCCUGAUGGAGGGGGAUAACUACUGGAAACGGUGGCUAAUACCGCAUAACGUCGCAAGACCAAAGAGGGGGACCUUCGGGCCUCUUGCCAUCAGAUGUGCCCAGAUGGGAUUAGCUUGUUGGUGAGGUAACGGCUCACCAAGGCGACGAUCCCUAGCUGGUCUGAGAGGAUGACCAGCCACACUGGAACUGAGACACGGUCCAGACUCCUACGGGAGGCAGCAGUGGGGAAUAUUGCACAAUGGGCGCAAGCCUGAUGCAGCCAUGCCGCGUGUAUGAAGAAGGCCUUCGGGUUGUAAAGUACUUUCAGCGGGGAGGAAGGUGUUGUGGUUAAUAACCACAGCAAUUGACGUUACCCGCAGAAGAAGCACCGGCUAACUCCGUGCCAGCAGCCGCGGUAAUACGGAGGGUGCAAGCGUUAAUCGGAAUUACUGGGCGUAAAGCGCACGCAGGCGGUCUGUCAAGUCGGAUGUGAAAUCCCCGGGCUCAACCUGGGAACUGCAUUCGAAACUGGCAGGCUUGAGUCUUGUAGAGGGGGGUAGAAUUCCAGGUGUAGCGGUGAAAUGCGUAGAGAUCUGGAGGAAUACCGGUGGCGAAGGCGGCCCCCUGGACAAAGACUGACGCUCAGGUGCGAAAGCGUGGGGAGCAAACAGGAUUAGAUACCCUGGUAGUCCACGCCGUAAACGAUGUCUACUUGGAGGUUGUGCCCUUGAGGCGUGGCUUCCGGAGCUAACGCGUUAAGUAGACCGCCUGGGGAGUACGGCCGCAAGGUUAAAACUCAAAUGAAUUGACGGGGGCCCGCACAAGCGGUGGAGCAUGUGGUUUAAUUCGAUGCAACGCGAAGAACCUUACCUGGUCUUGACAUCCACAGAACUUUCCAGAGAUGGACUGGUGCCUUCGGGAACUGUGAGACAGGUGCUGCAUGGCUGUCGUCAGCUCGUGUUGUGAAAUGUUGGGUUAAGUCCCGCAACGAGCGCAACCCUUAUCCUUUGUUGCCAGCGGUCCGGCCGGGAACUCAAAGGAGACUGCCAGUGAUAAACUGGAGGAAGGUGGGGAUGACGUCAAGUCAUCAUGGCCCUUACGACCAGGGCUACACACGUGCUACAAUGGCGCAUACAAAGAGAAGCGACCUCGCGAGAGCAAGCGGACCUCAUAAAGUGCGUCGUAGUCCGGAUUGGAGUCUGCAACUCGACUCCAUGAAGUCGGAAUCGCUAGUAAUCGUGGAUCAGAAUGCCACGGUGAAUACGUUCCCGGGCCUUGUACACACCGCCCGUCACACCAUGGGAGUGGGUUGCAAAAGAAGUAGGUAGCUUAACCUUCGGGAGGGCGCUUACCACUUUGUGAUUCAUGACUGGGGUGAAGUCGUAACAAGGUAACC
rnacentral:rRNA from 1 species